GAUGAACGCUGGCGGCGUGCCUAACACAUGCAAGUCGAGCGAACAGAUGAGGAGCUUGCUCCUACGACGUUAGCGGGGGACGGGUGAGUAACACGUGGUUAAAAUAACUACCAGACUGGGAUAACUACGGGGAACCGGAGCUAAGACCGGAUAAUAUAUUGAACCGCAUGGUUCAAUAGUGAAAGAAGGUUUUGCUGUCACUUAUAGAUGGAUCCGCGGCGCAUUAGCUAGUUGGUAAGGUAACGGCUUACCAACGCAGCGAUGCUUAGCCGACCUGAGAGGGUGAUUGGCCACCCUGUAACUGAGACUCGUCCGAGACUCCUACGGUGGGCAACAGUAGGGAAUCUUCCGCAAAGGACGAAAGCCUAACGGAGCAACGCCGCGUGAGUGAUGAAGGUCUACGGAUCCUAAAACUCUGUUAUUAGUGAGGAACAAAUGUUUAAGUAACUGUGCACGUCUUGACGGUACCUGAACAAAAAGCCACGGCUAACUACGUG
rnacentral:rRNA from 1 species